UUCUAUUCUCAAUUAUGGUGCAGCAUCAAAUUAAAGAUGAGAAGUAAAUCCUGUGCCAAUCCCUCAGCAUUAGAAGUGAAAGGCACAGGUGUUUUAGGCAUGAUAUUAAAACCAAAGGCCCCAUAUCACGGUAGGUAUUGGCACGAUAAAGAACCCUCACUGCUACACAACUAAGUUAAGGCUAAUCCCUCCAAAAGUCUCAGUGCUGUACAUAAAUCUACCUUCAAGUUGAGCAAUGCACUUCACACCAUACAAUGUCACAAUGAAAAAGUAAGGCACAACGCACAGGGCUAUAUAUUCAUAUCAUUGGGAAAAUGUUGCAAUAUUUUAGCUGUAUUGACCAAGGCUAUCACGUUCUAAGCUGUAUACAAAUUUGUUUAAAAUUUUCUGUCAUAUGAUAUAUUUUUCUCUUUGGUAUUGUAGCAAUUUCAAAUUUUCAGUAUAGAACAUGUGCAAAGAUAUUAUUCAUAUGAUUGAUUGAUGUUUUCCGCCACACUCAACAAUUUUUCAGUUAUAUGGUGGCGCCCAGUUUUUAUUGGUGGAAGAGAGAACCCAGAUACAAUGUACCUGGGAAGAGACCAUCAACCCUCCGAAAGUAAACUGGGAAACUUUCUCACUUAACGGCAUGAGCGGGAUUGGAACCCUCACCAACAGAGAACUAGAUGAGCAGAAGAUGCAUUCCAUGACUGACUCCCCAUAUGAUAUGAAAGAGAGCCCAUGAGAAUGGAACCAACUUUCAGUGUUACAAUGGAUGAACACCCCUCCUGUCACAAGUCCAUCUUGAUUCAGUAAAGUGGUAGUCUAUUUAUCUAGGAAGCAACAAGACGGAUCUGGACAAGGACCAUAUUGACUCAAGUUUUGGUGUCAGAAGACCAUUUUGAUUAAACAUGUUAAAAGCACCACAGAAGUAAGAAGCUAGGAUACCAGUUUUAUAAACUAAAGAGUCGAAAGGCCCAGCUGGAGAGAAAUUCCCAUUUCUAGACCAAGGACAAAAAAAAAAAAAAGAUUAAAAAGGUGCUGACUAAGGAGGCAACGUCUCCAGAAGUAACGGAUGAUGAGGAAGCCACCCAGAGGAAGGUCUUACCAUUUAUAUGGGAGUCAUCCCUGCUGCGUAAUGUUAAGUGCGACCUGGACAGAGAGUAUGCUGAAUCUUUGCAACUUCAAUCAAAGAGACAAAAAGCCAAGGCCAUUAGAAGUAGAACGAAAAUGACUAUGACCCCACCACCUAGGAGCAUUCAAAAAGAUUGGGCCGUUUCCUCUACUUAUAAAUGAUGCUAUUACUAUUAAUAGUUAUAUUUAAUUUCCUCAUUUCUAGCUCACCUGAGCCAAAGGCUCAAGGUCACAAUUAAUACUUUUAUACCAUUAUAACCAGUUUUUAUGAAAUUUUAAUAAUGCUGUUGAAGGAGAAUUGCAAUUUUUCGGAUGUUUAUAAUUGACACUGUUUAAGUUAGAGUUGGGUACCGCAGAAAAUAAAGGUACCGCGGUAUACCGUGGUAUUUGCAAAAUACCGCGGUACAUACCACGGUAUACCGCAGAUUUAAUCUUUUAAUUGUAUGAUUCAGUUUUAGUGGAUUUUAGUUGUGAUUUAUUGUAUAUAAUGAGCUGUUAUUAGUUUAUUGAUUGUAAAUUGCAUUUAAUUUAUUCAAAUAUAAAUGAUAAGGAAAAUAUCUUAUUUAAAUCUUAAACCAGUUAACAGAACAAAAGUUUAAUCCAAACGUAUAAGUAUAUCGUACAUACAAUAUAGCAGUGUCUCUGUAUCAUGACUAGAAUCGACUGUGACUAGACUACUGACUGGAACGAUUAUAAAAAUAAUUAAUAGGGGGAAACCUGUGGAUUUUAUUUGACACGAUCUCAAAGUAGUCUAGAAGUUCUUAGAGUCGCGAAUGACGAGAACUUCUACAUGUAGAAUACGCCUGUCCACUUCUCUAAAGAGAAUAACGAGAACAUGUGCGUAUGAACGUGUUCUUGUUCUUCUACCACAAUUCCUACAUUUUUGCACCUCAAAGUCGGCGUUCAGAAUCGGCAGGAAUUUGUACUCGCGCGAUGAACAGUUGUUUCGAACGCACAAGUCUGCAUCUGCCAUUUUAUUUUAUUUUUUACUUGGGGUUUGCCUUAUAGCCGGAAAUGGUAUCCGACCCGAAUAAACCAAACAACAUAAAAACAAUUUUUAUAAUCUACCUUAUAUAUUAAAAUAAUAACUUAAUGAAAUGUUUUCUAUUAUUUUUUUCUUUAAUUUUGAUUUGUUUUCAUAUCAAUAAUC